rnacentral:rRNA from 1 species
AGCUGCGGCGACAGCACGUUGAAUGAAUCAGUUCCCCCACGGAUCACAGAAGUUAAGCAACGUUGCGCGUGGUUAGUACCUGGAUGGGUGACCAUCUGGGGAAUCUGCUGGGUUCCCAGCUC